rnacentral:rRNA from 1 species
GACGAACCGUGCGAACGUUAUUCGGAAUCACUGGGCUUAAAGGGUGCGUAGGCGGGCUGUCAAGUCUGGGGUGAAAUCCCACGGCUCAACCGUGGAACUGCCUUAGAUACUGAUGGCCUCGAGGGAGGUAGGGGCAUGCGGAACUGUAGGUGGAGCGGUGAAAUGCGUUGAUAUCUACAGGAACUCCGGUGGCGAAAGCGGCGUGCUGGACCUCUUCUGACGCUGAGGCACGAAAGCUAGGGGAGCAAACGGG